rnacentral:rRNA from 1 species
UACGUAGGGCGCAAGCGUUGUCCGGAAUUACUGGGCGUAAAGAGUGUGUAGGCGGUGCUCUAAGUUCGGUGUGAAAUCUCCCGGCUUAACUGGGAGGGUGCGCCGGAAACUGGAGUGCUCGAGCGUGGGAGAGGAAAGCGGAAUUCCUGGUGUAGCGGUGAAAUGCGUAGAUAUCAGGAGGAACACCUGCGGUGUAGACGGCUUUCUGGACCAUUGCUGACGCUGAGACACGAAAGCGUGGGUAGCAAACAGG